rnacentral:pre_miRNA from 1 species
CCGGCCUCCGUCUGCUUACUGAGCUGAUUUUGGAAUCGAGUAAGUAAUCGGUGGUUGGCG